AGAGUUUGAUCCUGGCUCAGGAUGAACGCUGGCGGCGUGCCUAAUGCAUGCAAGUCGAACGAAGAUCUAGCUUGCUAGAUCUUAGUGGCGAACGGGUGAGUAAUACAUAAAUAAUCUGCCCAUUGGACUGGGAUAACUGUUGGAAACGAUAGCUAAUACCGGAUAGGUGAUUUGAAGGCAUCUUCGAAUCAUUAAAGUAGGGUCACUACACCAAUGGAUGAGUUUAUGGCGCAUUAGUUAGUUGGCGGGGUAACGGCCCACCAAGACGAUGAUGCGUAGCCGACCUGAGAGGGUGACCGGCCACACUGGGACUGAGACACGGCCCAGACUCCUACGGGAGGCAGCAGUAGGGAAUUUUCGGCAAUGGGCGCAAGCCUGACCGAGCAACGCCGCGUGAGUGAUUAAGGCCUUCGGGUUGUAAAGCUCUGUUGUAAGGGAAGAACAUUCAGGAUAGGAAAUGAUCUUGAACUGACGGUACCUUACCAGAAAGCCACGGCUAACUACGUGCCAGCGAGCCGCGGUAAUA
rnacentral:rRNA from 1 species